rnacentral:lncRNA from 1 species
UGCUGACCUUGUAAACCUGGCCAUCUUUUUGGCUCACACAAACCCGAACAUCUCCUUGCCCUCGACUCUUCUCUAUAGCUAUGGCUUUGUUUUCAAGACGCCUCGCUUCUGUCACACACACAAAAACUACUCCGAACAACAAUGUGGCAAGCAUAACUCUCGCAACAUCAAUUAAGAACUUCCCCAUGAUCUCUCUUAAUUCACGCCAAGGCUUGGAAGGCUGUAUAGUAUCGACUCACGUAAUGCUCGUU